rnacentral:rRNA from 1 species
AGAGUUUGAUCCUGGCUCAGGACGAACGCUGGCGGCGUGCUUAACACAUGCAAGUCGUACGGUAAGGCCCUUUCGGGGGUACACGAGUGGCGAACGGGUGAGUAACACGUGAGUAACCUGCCCACAACUUUGGGAUAACGCUAGGAAACUGGUGCUAAUACUGGAUAUGUGCUCCUGCUGCAUGGUGGGGGUUGGAAAGCUCCGGCGGUUGUGGAUGGACUCGCGGCCUAUCAGCUUGUUGGUGGGGUAGUGGCCUACCAAGGCGGCGACGGGUAGCCGGCCUGAGAGGGUGACCGGCCACAUUGGGACUGAGAUACGGCCCAGACUCCUACGGGAGGCAGCAGUGGGGAAUAUUGCACAAUGGGCGCAAGCCUGAUGCAGCAACGCCGCGUGCGGGAUGACGGCCUUCGGGUUGUAAACCGCUUUCAGCAGGGACGAAGCUUUUUGUGACGGUACCUGCAGAAGAAGCACCGGCUAACUACGUGCCAGCCGCCGCGGUAAUAC